UACGUAGGUGGCGAGCGUUAUCCGGAAUUACUGGGCGUAAAGCGCAUGCAGGCGGCCAUUUAAGUCUGACGUGAAAGCUCCCGGCUUAACUGGGAGAGGUCGUUGGAGACUGAGUGGCUUGAGGCAAUGAGAGGGGUGUAGAAUUCCUGGUGUAGUGGUGGAAUGCGUAGAUAUCAGGAGGAAUACCUGUGGCGAAAGCGGCACCCUGGCAUUGGCCUGACGCUCAUGUGCGAAAGCGUGGGGAGCGAACGGG
rnacentral:misc_RNA from 1 species